rnacentral:sRNA from 1 species
GCCGGAAGAUUGGGCUGAUGCACCUUCAUGAAGUUGACGUUGAUGAAGAAUGGCUGA